rnacentral:lncRNA from 1 species
UGGGGCCGCUCUGCAGGACGCGGGAACGGGACCGCACGAAGCCGCCGCCGCCGGCAGCGAGGCUGCCGAGAUCUCACGUCCCGUCCUGGUCCCUCGACUGCAGGGAACGCGGGCACCGCUCGGCCCGGAGCGGCUGCGGGACCGGGACACGGCUGCGGGGCGCCGCCGCUGCCCUUUUGCCAGUGCAAGGCCGGGCCUUUUGCGUCUGAGAGGAAGGGUUGGCGCUGUGGGGCUGCGUGUGCCGCGCAGAAUUGGGUGCAAAACCCGUCUGGGUCGCGUUUUACCCCUGGGGAAAUCGAGGCAGAAGGCGUUUUUCCAAGCUCUUUUGCCAAAGCAGGGGGAAAAAGCUGCAAAUAGAAGACAGAUCCUCUUAUUCUCCGUCCAGUGCCUGAUUGAGUAAACCGCACUGGCAGGCAGAACCGUCCCAUACAGACGUGUGCAGAACCAUUUUACAAGAGCAAGCGGAGAGCCAAGUGAGCGCAGUUUGGAGCGGGGCACCGUGCACUCCCGGCUUCCUUCUUGACGGCCGCGAGCAGUCAGAGCCGAGCUCCGCUCCCCAUCUCUGCAUGCGGGAACGGUGACUGAAGUUUGCCUUGGUGUAUUUACUUUGCACGAUACGGUGCAACUGUCAGGGUACAAAGGCGACAGGGAAUCUGCGCUCUGAAGCCAGAGGGGACCGUGUUUAAAGGCAUUCCUGAAAGAGAGUGAGAUACGUGCUCAGAACCAUGGAAUCCAGGCAUUUUCAGAAUCACGGGGUAAGUUUGGGAAGGAAGACGGAAUCUCGAUGUCCGUUUUAAUUAAAGACACCCACCUUGGGAAUCAAACUUUAUUUUCACUCUCUUACUCCCACAUUUACCUGUCUACAAGCUGGUGAUUCAUCCUCAGAAUAAAGGACAUUAAUUUAAAACAAAACAUAUAAUUAAAGGAAGUAGGAGUGUCCUUCGCCUCAGUAAAGAAGACCCAGCACUGCAGGGAAAAUGACACUGCCUCUUAGAAUAAUGUGAAGCAAUCCUGCGGUGUGGGAAAUAUGGUAACGUUAAGCCAGAGGAACAGUAUCUCCUGGCAGAUCAGUGAGAUCAGAGGUGCAUCAUGCUAAACGCUGUGUGGACACAGCCCCUCACUGCAGCCCAAUGCAAAGCAUGGAGAGGCAGAAGAGGGGCAAAGAUUAAAGAAGAUAAUGCCAGAAGUCAACAGUUGCAUCACUGAACAAGGUGCUGCUGGUAGUGUGCUGGAGUCCCAGGUCCCUCUUCAUACAGCCGUGCACCUUACACCAGCACCAACUCGUAAGUUGUACCUGGCAGAGGCUCGAUUCCGACCUGUUGCUUUCCACGUGCUGUUCUCCACUGCUAAAAAUAAAU